rnacentral:rRNA from 1 species
GUCCUUUAGAAUAUAUAAUUUAAGGUCUGACCUGCCCACUGAGAAAUUUAAAGGCCGCAGUAAUUUGACUGUGCAAAGGUAGCAUAAUCAUUAGUUUUUUAAUUAAAAGCUUGUAUGAAUGGUUGGACGAGAUAAAAUCUGUCUCUGAAUAAUAAAUAGAAUUUAAUUUUUAAGUUAAAAAGCUUAAAUUAAUAUAAAAGACGAGAAGACCCUAUAGAUCUUAAUAUAAAAUUUUAAAGUUUUAUUUAAGAUUAUUUUAUUAAUUUUAUUAUUUUAUAUUUUAUUGGGGUAAUAAAAAGAUUGAAUUAAUUCUUUUUCAUAUUUAACAAUAAUAAUUGAUUAUUUGAUCCAUUAAUAGUGAUUAUAAGAUUAAGUUACCUUAGGGAUAACAGCGUAAUUUUUUUAGAGAGUUCAUAUCGAUAAAAAAGUUUGCGACCUCGAUGUUGGAUUAAAAAUUAUUUUGGGUGUAGAAGUUCAAAAUUUUGGUCUGUUCGACCAUUAAAUUUUUACAUGAUCUGAGUUCAGACCGGCGUAAGCCAGGUCGGUUUCUAUCUUUAUUUUAUUUAUAUAUUUUAGUACGAAAGGACCAAAUAUUUAAUAUAUUAAUAUUUUUGUUUUGAUUAA